rnacentral:lncRNA from 1 species
GUGCUAAGCUGUGCGUUAAGGGAGCUCCGAAGCUGGACCUGCGCGACGCGGGGACCUGUGGAAGAGACAGACGCGACGCUCGGAGGAACCCGCGGAAAUGGACCCCUCGUCUUUCAAGGGGGAGCGCGGCCUUGAGGCUUAGCUCAGGGCCAGCAGCGGCCGGGGCCUCCCGCAGCCCCACGCGCCGGAGCGCCGGUGGCCCGCGCAGCGGGCGGAGGCCGCGGGCCCCAGACCAUGCUCACCCUCAUCACCGAGAAGCUGCAGAACCAGAGCCUGGACGACCUCGCCCGCAAGAGCUUCGAUGCCGGCCUGUGUUCUGCUGAGAAACUGAACAAAUGGGGCCCCCGGCUCCCUUUUGAGCCUGAAGGAGAACAGCGCCCCCAGAAAGUGACUUUAAAAAAUUCAAAAAGCCUUUGCUCCCUCGACUGUGAAGAUGAGGAGGACACCCACGCGAAGGCGGCCACGUCCUCCCGGCGUGACCCCCACAGCCCCCCAGGCAGCGCCCGGCCCGGCCCCGCCAGCCCCACCAGCCCCAGCUUGGGGGCCCCGUGGGAGUGGGCGGCCGGCGAGGCUGGGAGUCGGGGCGACCCCAGGGACUGGGACAGCGCCGGGGAGGAGGGCGAGCUGGACCUGGAGCAGAUCGAGAGCAACUGACCGCUGCCCUGGGCCGGGCCGCCGGGCUGGCUGCUCUGGACGUUGCAAUUCACGCCGACGCCGUCUUUCCUAGAGAAGCAUCUGGCGUUGUUACGGCUCUUGCAGUUCGGAGAAAGCGUCUCUGUUUUGAAACGCCUUUUCGGAAGGGCAUUCUUUUCGGGGGAGGUGAGCUCAGCGCCCAGCCUGGGCCUGGGCUCCUGCGUGACGGGCGCCUCGUGGCUUGGCUGCCGGGCCCUCCUCGGACCCGGACGCCCGCGGGCAGAGCCCCCAGCCCGUGACCCCGACCGGCCUGCUGUUUGGAGCCGGGCCUGUCUCGGGCGGGGUGCUCUUGUGGCUGAGGCCGCGGGGUCCCGGUGGCCCUGCCGUGUCGCUGCAGCAGAAGGCACUGACUUGCUUUGCACGCGCGACCGCUGCACGCUGCUUUCCUGUCCGGGUUCCCCGGCCGAGGCCGGUCCCGGCCGGGGCAUGAGAUGUCCGGUUUCGUAAGAUCGCAGGGCUUCUGCCAAAGAUGUAGGUCUGAGGCGCUCUGGAUAAGAGGAAGGAGCGCGUGACGUUGAAAGAAAACAUUUCCAAUCUUUGG